UGCAGGCCAAUCGCGCCGCAGGAUGUUUUAUGUGGACUUGGAUUGAGGCCAAUCACGGCGCUUCUUCCCAGUCACUCCGCCACUGAAUGACUAUGGACAUCAGUAGAGCACGAGGCAAUUUGUCAAAUCUUUAAGGAAACAGGGCUGAGCAUCUAGCAGGAAGGGAUUCCUCCAAGCUCAGACAUCAACAACAUCCUGAAUAUUACACUCAUAACGUGAGGCUGGAGGAAUGGGAGUGAGCAUGGAAAUAAUGCACGACUGACCCAUUGCCAAGUGUCCUACCCUGAGGAGGUGGAUGUGAUUGUUGAGACAUUGCAGGGCAUCUUUACCAGGGGGAGUCUGCAGCAGCACCAUGAGCUAACCCUGACAACUCUCAGGCCUGGGGCACCACCCGUCUGGCUACCGCAACCAAAAUAUGGUCACACUCAAAUGGACCCUCCGCCGAGUUUUGAACCCCUGCAGGCACAAAGGGUAAUGAUCUAACCCCGAAGAAAUGAGCACAGCAUCGGGCAGCUGCAAACACUGGCACUUGAUGAAUGUUGUCAUUCUGAUUAAGAAACCUGCUCAUUGCUGUGUGGAUGUUUUGCGCUGUGUCUGUGGUCAAGGUACAACAGGCCAGGUUGACAAAGCCUCUCAUGAAAAAUGGUGGGGCCCAGCCAGGCCCAAACAUCCUGACGGAGAGAGGCUUUUCCCUUAUCAGUCAGGAAACACCGCUCCUCCGCCACAUCCUCUUUACAAGAAGCACGACUCAACCGUUCCCAAAAAUUGCAGGAAGACCAGCCAGACUCCAGGAUUUGUCAAAAGCCCCCUGAAUUCCUUUUAUCGAAAAAGAAAAAUUCAAGAGAACAGAGAGGGUGAGAGGGGAGGAGUGGAGAGAGAGAAGGGGGGGGUUGCGAAUAUAGAAAAAUGAGGAGGGUGUAAAACAGUCAACGAGGGCCUGGGAUUUCUUUUUUUAUUUAUUUUGCACAGAUUACGAAA